CCUACGGGAGGCAGCAGUGAGGAAUAUUGGUCAAUGGGCGGGAGCCUGAACCAGCCAAGUAGCGUGAAGGAUGACGGCCCUACGGAUUGUAAACCUCUUUUAUAAGGGAAUAAAGGGAGGCACGUGUCCCUGUUUGAGUGUACCUUAAGAAUAAGGAUCGGCUAACUCCGUGCCAGCAGCCGCGGUAAUACGGAGGAUCCGAGCGUUAUCCGGAUUUAUUGGGUUUAAAGGGAGCGUAGGCGGGUUGUUAAGUGAGCUGUGAAAUGUCGGGGCUCAACCCCGGGAUUGCAGUGGAAACUGGCAGUCUUGAGUACGAGAGAGGUAGGCGGAAUGCGUGGUGUAGCGGUGAAAUGCUUAGAUAUGACGAAGAACUCCGAUUGCGAAGGCAGCUUGCUGGACCGGCACUGACGCUGAGGCUCGAAAGCGUGGGUAUCGAACAGGAUUAGAUACCCUAGUAGUC
rnacentral:rRNA from 1 species